GCCUUCAGGAAACACUAGUGACAUUUUUUUUGGGGGGGUGCGUUUCGAGACAGGGUUUCUGGCCACCAGAAAAAGGGGGCAGAUGAAAAAUGGAUUAUGGCAAAAUUCUCCCAGCUGGGCCCUUAGCUGUGGGUAGUUCCAUCACUCAGGCAGAGGAGUCCUUAUUAGCUUUGGCUCCCAAGUCUUCAUGAACCCAGGCCAUCUGAACUCCUUUCUGUUUGCUGCAGGUGAACCUUUGGGCUGCUGCUGCUGCUACGGUUGCGGCUGCUACUGUGUGUACACUUUCCCCAUAGGAAUGCCACAGGAGAGAGACUUCCUCCUCCUCCUCUUCCUACCAUCUCCUCUGCUGCCAGCAAUGAGCCCUGGGGGGCAUGCACAGGAACUGUCUGGACUCUCAUCACCGCCCUUGGGUCCUUCAGUACGCCAUCUCCUGUGGUCCUGCGGCAGAGCCCUUUAUAAUCUCAGGAGGUAAAUCUGACAGGCCUGGCCCCUUAGAGAAGGAACAGUUACCUCCAUUGCAUAACUCAGGGUGUCUAAGGGGUGGAAGGGAAUCUUGGGAUUAUUUGUGCAGAAAGGAAGUCACACCAGGGACCCAGAGCUCUGGAGAUGGUAACCUGAAGGCCAAGCCUAUCUUCUUCCUCCUCACUGUAUCACCCCUGCACAAAUUCUGGCCAUUGGCCAGGAACCCAGGCAGGCAAGGACUCGAGGUCCACAGGAGACUAGAAAACUGAGUCUGAUUUAAGGGGAGAGGUUAAAUUUGCAAUGCCCCCAGUUAGAACAGCUCUCCCACCCCCUGGUCCCUGGGUGACAGGCAGGUUUAGAACCUGUUUUUAGUCAUGCCACAUGGCAGAGUGAAGUCAUUAGCCACCCUACAGCCCCUCCUGCCCUUUACCCUCACCUCCAGUGCUUCUUCCAAGGCCACAUAAACUCCCAAGUGGAGUCCCAGGACAAGAAACAGCUAGGUGCUGGGUGCAAAGAUCUGCCCUCAACUUUCCACACUCUCCAUCAGCGCCAUGGCUACUCAAAGUGACAUCAGCGGUGUUAAGAAUUUUGCUACCACCAGGUGCUUGUGGUGCAGGCCUUUAAUCCCAGCACUCAGGAGGCAGAGGCAGGUGGAUCUCUGGGAGCUUGAGGGCAGCCUGGUCUACAGAGCGAGAUCCAGGACAACCAGGGCUACACAGAGAAACCCUGUCUCAAAAAUUCAAAACUAACACAAACCAAAACAAACCAAAAAAGAAUUCUUCACUUUGCUGUGUGACUAGGGGUCAAGUUGCCUAGGUUUCCUGUGCCUCAACUGCUUCUCUCCUGGGAUAGGAAUAAGGGAAAAACUGCUCCCUAGAAUGUCUGGGGAAUUCAAAGACAGUGUAUUCAAAGUGAUGAGUAUACCACCUGGUGUCAACUGAAAACGUGUGAUCACAGUUAUUUCCAAGACUCCUAAGAAGUCCUCCUGGAAGCCUCCCCCUUUCCCAGAGAGGGGUGGGGCUAGGAGCUGCCUCCCACCGGGUACCAAGAAUGUUCCAUACCUUUGUUCACUCAUCUUUACCUCAACCCUGUAAAGGCUGGCCCUUUUAUGUCCCCAUUUUACAGAUGUGGAUGCUAAGGAACAAGGGGUAUUGGGUCCAGAGUUACUGAUUAAGAACAUUCAGGGUCAAGUUUCAAACUCAAGCCGGCUGGGUUUUGUUUUGUGCAAGACAUUGUGCUUCACCCACAGUGACAACCCCUUUCCUGGCC
rnacentral:lncRNA from 1 species